CACGGGUGGCUGCAGUGGGGAAUAUUGGACAAUGGGCGAAAGCCUGAUCCAGCCAUGCCGCGUGUGUGAAGAAGGCCUUCGGGUUGUAAAGCACUUUCAGUGGGGAAGAAAGCCUUGGGGCUAAUACCCUCGAGGAAGGACAUCACCCACAGAAGAAGCACCGGCUAACUCCGUGCCAGCAGCCGCGGUAAUACGGAGGGUGCGAGCGUUAAUCGGAAUUACUGGGCGUAAAGCGCGCGUAGGCGGUCUGAUAAGCCGGUUGUGAAAGCCCCGGGCUCAACCUGGGAACGGCAUCCGGAACUGUCAGGCUAGAGUGCAGGAGAGGAAGGUAGAAUUCCCGGUGUAGCGGUGAAAUGCGUAGAGAUCGGGAGGAAUACCAGUGGCGAAGGCGGCCUUCUGGACUGACACUGACGCUGAGGUGCGAAAGCGUGGGUAGCAAACAGGAUUAGAUACCCUUGUAGUC
rnacentral:rRNA from 1 species